UGGUGGAGUCAGCAGACACAGCACUGAUUCCACAGGAAGAAAACCACCAAGGGCAGAAGGAGCCCAACUUCUGGGCGACCCGGUAGUUAGAGGAAAGCCUUUUUUAAACUCGGUGGAAAGGCUCACAUACAGCAGGCACCAGUGUCAUUACCAAAGCCACCGGGCCUGUCUGCCAAGCUGGGUGGAUGUGGCCUCUUGACCAGGUUUUAUUCUUGGCCCCUGCCGUCCACUUGUCCCUCUGCUAUUCCUGCAACUCAAUAACCAGCAGAUGCUUGCUUUGUGGGCUCCAGCCUCUCCACCGUCCGUCUCCUCGUUUGUUCUGGCAUCUACUUCAAAUGGUAGAGCAUCUGUGAAAUGGCCCAAAGUACUCCAAGAUUCUGCUUCAGGGUUAAGAAUUUGUGUCUGCAUUGCCAAGACUCUUAUGAGUUUUCCAAUCAAAUACACAACCAGCCUGACCCUGACAAUCACGAAGUACUUUUCGUUAGGGUCUUCUCUCAGCAAAUACCUGUCGCUGCUCAAACACCGGAGCGGGGAAGAGAAUUGGGAGCUCGCUUUUCGUCCUCUCCGGACUUGCCCAUUUCUCCCCCUUCUCUUGUACCAUUACUACGUGUUAACUCCCAAAUGCCUCUCUAGGCCAGACCUCCGUGCCCAAAUCCCGACCCAGAAAUCCAAGAAUCUAAUGGGUGUUCCAACUACCGACGGCUUAAAACAGAAUUCCUCUUCCUCUUGCCAACCCACUUCAUCAUCUCCCGGUUUCUCCCGCCUCCGGCUUGGGAGGCAACCUUGACUUUCCCCUUCAGUCUCCCCUCGAGUCCCAAAGCUAUCCUGCCCGAGCCGGGCUCAAUUGGCCAAGGAGAGCCACGCCUCCGUCAGAUGUCCGCAGGCUUCCCGAGGGGCCCUCCCUCCGCGCCGCAGCCAGCAAGGCUCAUGUGGGUGCGUACCCACGGCGUGCACUUAGCAAACGUCCUUUUUCCUCCUUCAUGUCGCCCUCCGGGCCACGGCCCACGGCCCAAUUUCGGAAGCACCAGGUGUGUUGAAGCGACCUAUGUCCUUCCAUCUUCGGGAGGAAGAAAUGAACUGCCUUCAUGGAGCCCAGGUCCGCUCCUCCGAAGUGAACGCUUAAAAGCGGCUCGCGUUUUCCAACAGUGGCAUCUCUGAGGAAAACUCAAGAAAUCAAACAGAUUUCCUCAAACUCAAGAGGAACCCAAUGAGUCCGUUAAACAGUGACAAGGUACAAAGCCAGACUAACCCGGGUGGAGACUUCCAGAAGAAAGUUUUGGCAAAAAGAGUACAAAGUCACAAACGGGCCGAGGCCGGGGCCAACCGAGCAAGCCCCUGCCAUGGGGCCCCGCACAUCUGCUCCACACUGGGAUUUUUUCAGCCUGCCCUCCACCUACUGAGAUGUGGCUCGGGUGGAGGGGCGUUCUGAGGGUACGCGCCCUCAACCCCGGACUUUCGACUCCAAGCAGAAUUUUCAAAGAAUAAAACGUCUAAGUCCAAAGAGCAGGCUCCCCUCGACUUGGUUAGAAGCCUAGCCCCCGGUCGAUGGCUACGCGCCAAGGAGGGCCUUUUCCCUCCCACCUGUGGGGAGCAGAGUCCCCACUUCCAGGGCUGACACCACACAGGAGUGUUCACCAACCCAGGGUACCACCCGGCAACCCAGAAGCUGGUCGCGGAAGUGGCUUUCUCCAGUGAAAUUCUUCUUUCCCAGGGGUUGAUGACUCCAACUCUAAAGACUCCUGCCUCCCCCUUCCCAGCCCCCCGCCUUGCAUCCCACUCGCAUUUUCCUGAGGCUCACUGACUGUAGGAAAACAAGUAUCGCAUUAUGCUGGACUCCCUGGAAUGAGAUCAGUUCUAGUUUCAAAUUCCUUGCCGAACAAGCCCAAGGCCACAGACCCAGUACAAAUCCCAGCUGCUCAGCGGGGCAGAAGGCCUGAGCGAGCUCAAGAAAGCACGACUGAAGUCGUGACCGGCAAACGCAUCCUAAACCUGGACCGGCUUCCUUCCAGGUCUGGUCCACAGCGCGGGGCACGAACACGUCUGUAAAGGACCCGGUCUCGGCUCCUCCCCCCGAGGCAGCACCGCCAAGGCGAGGCUGUGGUGCGGCGCUGGGCUGCGAUUUUCUCCAACUGGCACCAUCUGUGGGUGCCCUGCCAGACGUGCUGACAGAGCAGGCUGCGUAGACCAUUACUAAUCUACCGGGGUCGGCGGGGUCAGGCCUGCAACAUGAGGCCUAUAGAUUUCAAAGGCCGGCCUUCCCCCCACACCAGCUCAUCAAUCUAGGCUGAAAAGCAACCACAUUUUUAUCCUUCUUUUAAAUUUCAAAGAAAAAAUUCUCAUCUUCGAGUUUAGCGUGGGGGAUUGCUUGCACGUCAUCGGUGUCCGGAGACCAGCUGAGUGGUACAUCUGCGGGGCUGGAGGCUCAGCCGUUGAUCCUCUGCCAAAAUUGGGUGACCAGGCCAGGGGGACGACUUUCCUCACGCACACAAAGCCUUCAGAGCGGCGGCGUAGAGGAAGGCCAACAGGGAGCAAGAUUCAAACUCUACUGCUGCCAGACACCGCCCCUAAGGGGAGUCUGCAGAAGAACAGUAAAUGCCAAAGACCAUCCUAUCAGGAUGGUACCGUGGGAGCCCAGGCAGUGCAAUUCGGGCUGGUGAAUGAAAACACAGCCUCACCCCCCAUCCAUCUCAGAAUUCACCCAAGAGGCCUGCAACUGCCAGCAGCUGCCGAUCAAGUGUUUACUGAACGCCUACUGUGCGCCAAGAGCUAUGGAAUAAGCAAGUCUCGUGCUCAGCUCUAUACUGGCCAAGGGCCCCGUGGAAACAGGAAGUCAGUCCCACCUUCAAAAGGCCAUUGGGUAGCAACGGCAUGAUUCCAGGUAUACUACGAUCUUCAAGUCAAACGAUGACUCAAUCUGCCAACAGUCCACCAAUCACCACAAAACUAAGACAUCACUGCAAACUCCAAAGAAACCAGAUCUUUAUUUACAAUGAUUAAAGGCUUAAGGAAAUUAAGUUUUUCCGGACUCCAGGCAACUACAAGCAAAGGCUGGCCCAGCUACCAGCACACCCCCCGCCCCCAGGCUGCUCCCCUCACAAGGGUGCCUCAGCAUGACCUAAGAAGCAGUCACCCCAUCCCUUAGCCUUAAUCUGUUCCAGAUCAAGGAAGCACUGCUAUCAUAACAACAGACCUGCACGCAGCCCUUGGACUCCUCUGGAUAUCCUACAACGUGCUAAGCACACGAUACCAAUGGAAGCAUUUCGAAUGAGAGGCUUCACAUCUAUCGUGACUUUACGAACCCAUCCUGGGACGUGCUGGCACUGAAGAUUUCAUUCUCUCUAUAAAAUGAACACCUUCACGUUCCAAGAUGACCUGUUUUGGUCUUUGAGAAAUAGUCAGAUUUUACGAGCCCUAACUCAACACUAGGCUUCGGGUGUAAAGCUUUCUGCUGUCUUUCCCCCACCUCCAAAGCCCUAUAUUAUGUUUUAGAGGCUGGGAUUGUUCUAGACACCAGCAGCUCCUUUUUUAAACAAAGGCUGCCAAACAUUUAUCUCCCUCUCUGUCUGCUUCUGCUGGGGCAAAAGAUAAGCAUCGAGACAGAGACUUGCAUCGUGUUUUACCUGUAACUCAUCUAAACCACCAACUGACAAACACAGGUUCUGCCUCUGAGCACCAGGGAAGCUUGGGCAUAGAAAUAGCUGCACAGACCUGUGCCUCCAACAUCACUGCCAGCACAGAGGCGGUGAGUGCAACGAUCAGAAGGCAGGAGGCCUAGAUGGUGGAAUGGGAAACCCUCGACAAGUCUCAAAAUAUCAAGCCAAGCUAGAAGGUGGCAAAGAUAUGGCCACAGAACUCACAGUAAAGACCUAAACGGCCACAUUAUAAGUAGAGAUAGGAACAAAUCCAUGUAUCUCCAGCAGCCCAAGCAUCCCCCAGAAAAACAGCCAGCAUAGAUGUGGUCAGACUCUCUUCCACUGUAAGCAACUUAUGAGCCUAUCAAGCCAUCUACACUCUCUUUUGCCUCUUCGAUUUCUAAAAAUUUAAUCAUACUUCACUAGCCUAUUGCUGAGAGGCAGGAUAUUUGUUUUUUAUCCACUAUUGCUAAGCAUGAAUAUUAAUGGAUACACUUUAACUCUGCAUUUAUAGGAUUAUACUGGUUUGUAAAGGGCGGAGAGACCCUCAUUUCUGAAGAAAUAACAGAAGGACAAAAGGAACCAAGUUCAUUUUAUUCUGUCUUCCAUGAUCAAUUAAAUGCUAGGCAGUUUAAGAUUCUAAUGGAAGAUUCUUGCAGGGUCCUCAGAAGCCCUGCCCAACAGGAGACCCCCACCAUAUACCAGGCACUGAGUAGGGUCCAGGGGUAUCAAGAUAUGACCUCUGCCCCCCUCCCCCCAGCAUCCUGGGACAAAUGGGAAUCAAAUGCUCUUAAGUCCUUAGGGCUACAGUUUUUCUUAAGAGACUUGCUGACAUGCGAUAUUGACACAACAGCCAGCCUUCUACAGGUUCAGAGAGGGAGGAAAAACACACAAUAGCCAGGGUUAGAACACGGAGAAAUAUUUUGGUUUCUGAUAAAAUGCUGGUAUAAUAUUAAAACCAGUUACGAGUGAUCAAAGGAACCUACACUAAACACUGUGGUCACUCUGCCUUCAUGUGCCAUUAGCAUCUGCCCAAGAGCCACCUCUGUGACAAAUCAAAAUGGCUUGCCCCAGGCUCUGCUUACAGGAGCCACUGUCUGAUUUUGCGAACAGGUUACAUUAUGGGGCCUUUUUUUUUUUUUUAAACAUUUAAUGUACCUCAUACAACACCUUCUCUACAAUGUUUUUGGGAGAUCACUCCCUAAUCCCCAAUUCUUCCUCAAGGAAACCAGUUAAGAAUCCUUAAGAGAAUUAACUUAGACAACUAAUUACCGCCCCCCCCCCCAACCCACACACAAAAAAAA